rnacentral:rRNA from 1 species
UGGGGAAUAUUGGACAAUGGGCGCAAGCCUGAUCCAGCGACGCCGCGUGAGUGAUGAAGGCCUUAGGGUUGUAAAGCUCUUUUAGUAGGGAAGAUAAUGACGGUACCUACAGAAAAAGCCCCGGCUAACUUCGUGCCAGCAGCCGCGGUAAUACGAAGGGGGCAAGCGUUACUCGGAUUUACUGGGCGUAAAGCGUGCGUAGGCGGCUAAAUAAGUUGGAAGUGAAAGCCUAGAGCUUAACUUUAGAAUUGCUUUCAAAACUGUUUGGCUAGAGUGCUAGAGAGGAUAGCGGAAUUCCUAGUGUAGAGGUGAAAUUCGUAGAUAUUAGGAGGAACACCGGAGGCGAAAGCGGUUAUCUGGCUAGCAACUGACGCUGUUGCACGAAAGCGUGGGGAGCAAA